AUUUUCAGAGUGCCUUCUUUCCUCUGUAACUGUGGAAAGAGAUCAUUUAAAUCCUGGAAUACUUUGAUUUCGCCCUGUAUAAGACUCAACACCUAUAGAUGUGUGUAUUGGAGACUAAUACAUAUAUUCAUGUAACCUCCGGAUCACAAGGAACAAAGCAGAGAGGGUGAAGAAUGUGCCUGCAAUGCAAGAGACCUGGGUUCAAUCCCUGGGUUGGGAAGAAUGAGAUGAGAAGCUCCCCUCUGGGUAUACUAAGAGGAGACUCAAGGAGAAGAAAUGGCAACCCACUCCAGUGUUCUUCCCUGGACAAUCCCAUGGACAGAGGAGCCACAACUGCUGAAACUUGCAAGCUCCAGGGCCCGAGGGUCACAACUAGAGUCUGUGUGCUGCAACGAAAGAAUCUGCAUGAUGCAACGAAGAUCCUGCAUGCCACAACUAAGACCCCACGCAGUCAAAUAAAUACUUUUUAAAAACAGAAAGAGUUGGUUCAAUGAAAGGACAGUGGGAAAGGGCUUUCCCUGCAGCGAUGACAGCACAGUCUGGAGCGGAAAGUUGAAGGCAGGGAGGACAGAGAUGCAGGCCUUGAGGCCCUGUGGGCUUGUGGGAGUGAGAGAUCUGUGGGGUUGCUUCACGUCUGGGAGGCACACAAUCGGGUUUGUAUUUUAGAACCACCUAGCAGCCAGAUUCCAGCAGUGCUGCAGACUUGACCUUCAGGCCCGCUUCUCAUCCAUUUAUCUGGCCCUGGGACUUCCCCCACCGCCCCCACCUCCCUACAAAGGCCAUUUCUUCUGUGAUUUCAAAAUCCUGGGUUCCUGCUCUUUGGAAUGUCUUUUGCCCUAUUCCCUCCACUGAAUGCUUCACGGUUUCACCCUUCAGUGGGACUCUGAAAUAUUGUCACCCUCCCCAGAAGUCAUCUUUUCUCUUUCCUCCGCCAGCACACUCUUCUCAGCCCAAGAAGAUUCGAUGCCUUCUCUGGGCCCAUGCCUGCCAGCCCAUGUCUCCUCGGGAUAUGCAUAUACUAAAAUAUCUUCUCUUUAUCUCAUCUGGUCUUCGCCCCAUGGGGCCACCCGGAGGCUACUAUUUAUUCUUUCACACAUUAAUUUAAGCUGCUUUAAUUGCUGCUAUGAUAUGUUUUAUAUAAUAUAAUUAAUGUUUAAUCCUGU
ensembl:lncRNA